AUUGAACGCUGGCGGCAUGCCUUACACAUGCAAGUCGAACGGCAGCACGGGUGCUUGCACCUGGUGGCGAGUGGCGAACGGGUGAGUAAUACAUCGGAACAUGUCCUGUAGUGGGGGAUACCCCGGCGAAAGCCGGAUUAAUACCGCAUACGAUCUACGGAUGACAGCGGGGGACCUUCGGGCCUCGCGCUAUAGGGUUGGCCGAUGGCUGAUUAGCUAGUUGGUGGGGUAAAGGCCUACCAAGGCGACGAUCAGUAGCUGGUCUGAGAGGACGACCAGCCACACUGGGACUGAGACACGGCCCAGACUCCUACGGGAGGCAGCAGUGGGGAAUUUUGGACAAUGGGCGAAAGCCUGAUCCAGCAAUGCCGCGUGUGUGAAGAAGGCCUUCGGGUUGUAAAGCACUUUUGUCAGGAAAGAAAUCCUUGGCACUAAUAAGGUCGGGGGAUGACGGUACCGGAAGAAUAAGCACCGGCUAACUACGUG
rnacentral:rRNA from 1 species